rnacentral:rRNA from 1 species
AUUGAACGCUGGCGGCAGGCCUAACACAUGCAAGUCGAGCGGAUGAAGGGAGCUUGCUCCUGGAUUCAGCGGCGGACGGGUGAGUAAUGCCUAGGAAUCUGCCUGGUAGUGGGGGAUAACGUCCGGAAACGGGCGCUAAUACCGCAUACGUCCUGGGGGAGAAGGUGGGGUUUUUUCGGCCCUCCCCCUUCAAGUUGACCUUGGUGGGGUUUAGCUGUUGGGGGGGUAAAGGCCUACCAAGGGGCCGUACCUUAACGGGGUUGGAGGGUUGAUACGUAAAAUGGGAAUGAGAAACGGGCCCAAAUCCUAAGGGGGGGAAGAGGGGGGAAAAUUGGGCAAUGGGCGAAAGCCUGAUCCAGGCAAGGCGCGUGUGUGAAGAAGGGCUUCGGAUUGUAAAGCACUUUAAGUUGGGAGGAAGGGCAGUAAGUUAAUACCUUGCUGUUUUGACGUUACCAACAGAAUAAGCACCGGCUAACUUCGUG